CCCACCGUACGAGUGGACAAAAAACCAAAAAAAAAACACAUCCCUCCCCAAUCCCUAGCUCCUCCCCCCGUCUCCACCCACAGCCGCCGCCGCCGCACGCCCGCAGCCCUCCUCCGCUCCGCUCUGACCAUCCAAAUGGUGCUCCUCCUCAUGCCCACGCCGUCCUCCUCCUCAAGCCAUCACCGUUGUCUCCCCUCCUCUGUGACCGGCCUGCGUGAUCCCAACGCGGGGGACGACAUUAACCAUGGAGCGGAGCCCUGUGGGACGAGGUGGAGAUUGGAGAAUGCCGCGGCGAUGAGGGGCACCACAUACGUGGUACCACUACGCACCAUGGUGGGGAUGAGAGGUGUUGUAGCCCUUCCAUCGAGCUCGACUCCGGCGGUCCACGCCGGCAACGACGAUAACAUGAUCCCUACCAGUGAUGAGCACGACGUGCUCCGGCCCAACCGCCUCGACCUCCACAAGCCCCGUCGAGAUUCGUCAGCCCACCCUUCUCUUCUUUCACCACCAGGGGUUGAGGAGGAGCACCAUCAACUCACUUGAUUUUAUUUCAAUUUUCUAUUCAGCUCAAAGAGGUUCUGCGGUACAGCCUAGGAAAUAAAAGCGCGUCGACCUUGGAGACGACUGCGAUUGUUUGACGUCCUUCACAACUCACAACUGCUACGGUGCUUCCCGACUCCUUUUUGACUUUCGUCCCCAUGAGUUUUGUUGUUCUGCCGUGCUUGUCCUCUCAUUAUUUUGGAUGAAGUGCGUUGGUCAAUUUCUGUUGGAAGCAGCAACAGCAAUAUCAAAAGAACUGAAGAUCUGUUACAAAUUAGUAUAUGUUUUUCUAUGGAUGUGUUUGCUAGACAGGCUUAGGCUGGAUAUUUUGCUUCGUGCUGAUUGGGCAAACGGCUAUCAACACCAAUGUUAGCACCAUCCAUCUUUCUAGCGGACUUCCAAGCACGCAAGUAUGAGAAUACCAUGGCCAAGGAUCAUAUGGUGAUGCACCGCGGCAGGGCCAUCGGGAUGAAAAAGAGGCUUUUUUCUUGCCCCACGUUGGCCACACCACUACCGCCUACUCGACAAUGAAAGCCGUUGGACCUUGUCUACUUACCAGAGCGGGUUAUAGUUUGAUAAUCAAAUAUCUAGCUCUGUCAUGCAUCGGAGUGGAGUAUCACCGUGGCAAGAGACUUCAGAAAUACCACUGCAAUGCAUGGGAGUGGAGCCUCACCAUGGGAAACCAUCCCGCCACCGCUAGGGAGCUCUUGGUUGCACCGCAAGCUGCAAUGCCUUGUCGCUUGUGUCACUUAAGCGCUAUGGCCUCUCGCUGCUCAAAAUUGAUAGUUUGGUGCAGUGUCAUUCUUUGUCCCUUGCGCUCAUGAGGGGAGAGAAAGGGAGAGCAGAGAGGAGUGUGGACGCAGUGCUAACUGGUAGAUACGGUCUGUGUGUAAGGCGGCAGUGAUCUGCUGGUAUGAUUCUCGGUGAGCCAAGGUAACAGAUAGCCGUUCCAUCCCUUCUGGCGCCCUGUGGAGCCUGGCCAGAGUUUCCGUCAAAGCUAGGUAGGAAAGUAAGCUUUUCUGUCUUAGUUGCCGAGCAAGCUACAGUUAUCUUUCUUUGAAAAGCUACGCUUUGUUGCAUUGCCACAUGUCACAUGUAGGUUGCUUAUGAUAUGCCCCAAUAGUGGAGAGUAUUUAUCAUAAAACUAUCACACUACAGGUUUCAUCGGUCCCACAGAACUACCGGUUUAAAAAACGUCAAAAAAACCAGAUUAUGCUAAUUUUUUGCCUAAAAACUACCACUUGCGUUAGAUGACCAUUUUGCUGGUUUUAAACGUGUUAUGACAUGUGGGACCCACUUGUCAGGGCUGAUGCGGCAGCAAAGUGAACUCCGUUUAUUCGGACUGUUAUAUUUGCCGUUAUUACCUUCUUCUUCCUCCUCUUUCUUUCCUAGGCAUUUCAACCAACACCUCGUCUUCGUGCCCCACGACAAGCACUGUUGUGGUCCAUGUCGUUCACCUGGAGGCUGUUGUAGUCGAGGAUGACGCCUGACUAGGCCCCGUGCGGUGCAUGGGCUUGUCGUCUUUGGUGGUGCUGUCGAGGACGCGAAGCUCGCCACUGGUCAUGAGCGCGAGCGACAACGAGGCUGCCUCGACCGCGUUCAACCAUCGGACGCUCAUCGACCAUGUGUACUUUCUCGGGGAAGGAGUAGCAGGUGGCAAGGAGAUAGAUGUCGCUUUGUCUUUGAGAGUGGUUAAGGAGACGAUGACUACCGGACGAAAGAAGAGGUAGAGAUAAUUGGUAUUUGUUGCCAUUAUAUGAAUGGUAGCCACACGUCGUCAUGUUCGAGUCACAUUUCUAAAUUAGAACAAUUGUGUGAUUGGUGCAUUUUCUGUUAUUCCAUGGCAAUGCAACGGCAGCCCACGGAUCGACACGAACAUGGCGAGGGGAUUGGGGCGGAGAGCGGGGUGGUUGGCGGGAGACUCCUCCUUGCCACUCCAUGGGGAAGUACGAUGUGAAGCGAGAGGGUGCCGUGGCGAAGCUGAGGUGGGCGGUCUCUGGUUUAAAGGAGAGGACUCCAACAAGAAAUGUUUCACUACGGCAUGAAACCGAGAGGGAAGGGGAGGGUCCGUCAGGAAAAGAGAAAUGUGUGUCAUGAUUUAUUUUUCUUCUCUCUUUUGGGAUCGUGUGUUGUGGAUAACAUGAUAGAUACUCCGGGCAAUCACAUUUUCCCCUCACAUAUGGGUUGGAUUUGGGGGAGUCCGAACUGUCCAGUCAGCUGAAUUUUGGGGAGCCUGUUGGGCACCCGUUUGAUGUCCAAACACGUCCAGACGUAUGAGGGAGAAAUGAGCGUCGACCUUGGAGACGACAUUACUGCAUUGUAGCUCGUAGCAACUAUUUAAUGGCUCUUUCUAAAAAGUUUCCAUUUUAGUUUACUGAAUAUGUUUUCUUGCUUGAGUUAUAUCAGCUGGGCAAGUGCUAGAACCCAGGAGCAUAUGAUUUUGCUGCUCUUGAGAUACAUGCCAAUAUUGCAAUCUUGACUGUGCAACUAUAUAGACAAGGGAUUGCAUUUCUACAUUGAAGGUUCAGUGUUGAAGCUGCUUGCAUUGAGCUGCAAUAGAUCUUGACUUCGGCAAAAAAGAAGGGCGGAGUUGUCUUAGAAGAAUUGUCUAAAGAGCUAAAAAGUUUUUUUUUUAAACAGAGGCAAAAGACUUGCCUCAUUCAUUAAUAAAGGAGGAGAGUUUUAGAGUACAUAAAAGUGGCUCCACAACAUGGCCCGUCCGUCAACAAAAUGAAAAACAGAAACUACUCUCGCGGCAUGAUAAUGCUCAGUGAUGCGUGUCUCCAUACCCGGGCAUGUCUUCCUCAAUUUUAGUGGAACUGCAUAAAAUUGGAUGGUCAUUGUUGUUCCGCCUCACUGUCCUCUGCCACGUGG